UCUGUUUUAAAUUCACCAAUAAAGAGUAAGCCCUCAAAAUCCUAGGCCCCCACCCCCAUAAAAGCAGGACCCAGGCCUGUGCACUCUCUCUCUAUCCUCACGGCCUUGCUAUGUGGCCCCCGGUGUGCUGUGCAACUUCCAGGUCUGGAACAAAGGAUACGAGAAUUAACCAACUUCCAUCAUUAAAGAAAACAGAGACAUUUGAAGUGAAAUGUGGGCAAGACAGAAUGCGGGAGACUUGUCAAGACUUUUUUUUCUUUUUGAAAGAGAAGAGAGACUAUAUCCUACAAGAUAUCAAAACAUUCUCUAAAAUUACAAUAUCUAAAUUAUGUAAACUCAGGAAAAAAGGAGCAAAAUGAUGGAUCAGAAGAGAAUUCAGCAUCAGGGCU
rnacentral:lncRNA from 1 species